GAUGAAGAACGUAGUGAAAUGCGAUAAGUAGUGUGAAUUGCAGAAUUCAGUGAAUCAUCGAAUCUUUGAACGCACAUUGCGCCCCUUGGUAUUCCAUGGGGCAUGCCUGUUCGAGCGUCAUUUGUACCUUCAAGCUCUGCUUGGUGUUGGGUGUUUGUCUCGCCUCUGCGUGUAGACUCGCCUCAAAACAAUUGGCAGCCGGCGUACUUGUUUCGGAGCGCAGCACAUUUUGCGAUCCAGAUCAACGUACAGCGGCAUCCAAGAAGCCUUAUUUAACGCUCUUGACCUCGGAUCAGGUAGGGAUACCCGCUGAACUUAAGCAUAUCAAUAAGCGGAGGA
rnacentral:misc_RNA from 1 species